rnacentral:rRNA from 1 species
GACGUAGGGCGCGAGCGUUGUCCGGAUUUAUUGGGCGUAAAGAGCUCGUAGGCGGCUUGUCGCGUCGUCCGUGAAAACCUGCAGCUCAACUGCAGGCUUGCGGUCGAUACGGGCAGGCUAGAGUUCGGUAGGGGAGACUGGAAUUCCUGGUGUAGCGGUGAAAUGCGCAGAUAUCAGGAGGAACACCUGAGGCGAAGGCGGGUUACUGGGCUGAUACUGACGCUGAUGCGCGAAAGCCAGGGGAGCAAACGGG